UACGGAGGGGGCAAGCGUUGUUCGGAAUUACUGGGCGUAAAGGGUGCGUAGGCGGCUUGAUAAGUCAGUGGUGAAAGCCGAUCGCUUAACGAUCGAACUGCCAUUGAUACUGUUGGGCUUGAGUAUAGAUGAGGUAGGCGGAAUUGACAGUGUAGCGGUGAAAUGCAUAGAUAUUGUCAAGAACACCAGUUGCGAAGGCAGCUUACUAAGUUAUAACUGACGCUGAGGCACGAAAGUGCGGGGAUCAAACAGG
rnacentral:rRNA from 1 species